CUGAACCACAGAAAGUACCUUAGAUUCUAAGCUCAGGCACUUUGUGCCUUGUUUUUGUGGCUGAGGAUUCUCAGAGUUGUGGGAUGCUGACAAAGUUUAUCCCAAAAGCUCUGAUUCCACUUCCUCCACAAGCUUCAGCAUGGCCGUAUCUCCCACCACUUGUUCUGGUCCAAGGGCAGAAACGAGCAUCCUGGAAACCAACCAGUACUUGCGCUCUGAACUGGAAAAAUGCAAACAGAACUUCCGAGACCUCACAGAGAAAUUCCUGACAUCCAAAGCUACUGCCUACUCCCUGGCCAAUCACCUGCAGAAAUACAGCAGUGACCACAGCAGCACGUCCAGCCUUCCAUGAUGCAGGCAUGUCUGCCUUUUCUCAGAGUGUGA